AGUGAACGCUGGCGGUAGGCCUAACACAUGCAAGUCGAACGGCAGCACAGUAAGGGCUUGCUCUUACGGGUGGCGAGUGGCGGACGGGUGAGGAAUACAUCGGAAUCUACUUUUUCGUGGGGGAUAACGUAGGGAAACUUACGCUAAUACCGCAUACGACCUACGGGUGAAAGCAGGGGAUCUUCGGACCUUGCGCGAUUGAAUGAGCCGAUGUCGGAUUAGCUAGUUGGCGGGGUAAAGGCCCACCAAGGCGACGAUCCGUAGCUGGUCUGAGGGGAUGAUCAGCCACACUGGAACUGAGACACGGUCCAGACUCCUACGGGAGGCAGCAGUGGGGAAUAUUGGACAAUGGGCGCAAGCGUGAUCCAGCCAUACCGCGUGGGUGAAGAAGGCCUUCGGGUUGUAAAGCCCUUUUGUUGGGAAAGAAAAGCAGCAGGUUAAUACCCCGCUGUUCUGACGGUACCCAAAGAAUAAGCACCGGCUAACUUCGUG
rnacentral:rRNA from 1 species